rnacentral:tRNA from 1 species
GCCGCCAUAGCUCAGCUGGUAGAGCAGCUGAUUUGUAAUCAGUUUGUCGGGAGUUCAAAUCUCUCUGGCGGCACCA